rnacentral:tRNA from 1 species
GCCAAGGUGGCGGAGCGGUCAAACGCAACUGUCUGUAAAACAGUCGGUCGAAAGACCUACUUAGGUUCGAAUCCUAACCUUGGCA